UACGUAGGUGGCAAGCGUUGUCCGGAAUUACUGGGUGUAAAGGGUGCGUAGGCGGGCAAACAAGUCAGAUGUGAAAUACCACAGCUUAACUGUGGGGCUGCAUUUGAAACUGUAUGUCUUGAGUGGUGGAGAGGUAAGCGGAAUUCCCAGUGUAGCGGUGAAAUGCGUAGAUAUUGGGAGGAACACCAGUGGCGAAGGCGGCUUACUGGACACUAACUGACGCUGAAGCACGAAAGCGUGGGGAGCAAAC
rnacentral:rRNA from 1 species